GCCCAGAACUCUUACAAAAUGAGGUUGUAUACCUCAGAAAUGAUGUCGUGUUCUCCUUGACUUUCUAUUCAAGUGAAGAAUCAAAUAUAAUAACAUGGUACAGACAGUGGAUACGACUGGUUAAUUCAACAAAGCAAGUACAGACAACGAAACCGACAACUCUUCAUUUUCUAGUUCGUGGUAAAAAUGUAUCAGUAGACGGAUUUCAGAGUUAUCUUGUCUUAGGAAAUGCAAAAGAGCAUCAUCUGUACAAUAUUAAGAUAUGUGUGAAAAAUAAGUAUGGCAUAUCUUGUUAUAGAUAUCUUGAGUCAGAAGAAAAAGAAAUGCAGCAAACCUUCCACAUAAUCUGGAUAAUAGCAGUUGUUGUAGUUAUAUUAUGUGCUGUUGGUUUGGGGUUAUUGUUUUUCCGAAAGCGUUCAGGGAGUUCUAUUUCGAUAGAAAAUACCACAAACCCUGUUUAUCAACUAGUAGACACUCAGCAGGCUAACCAAUACCAACCCUUCUCCGCUGACAGAGAUGAGCCGCACACGUACGAGAUUCCCAACGCUGUGUAUGAAGAGUUGAAUGAAGACAGACCUUCUCACGACUACAGUACAGCUUCACAAUAUGAGGAAGUUCACAGUUCAACUAUCGAGACCAAUUCAAUAGAAAACAGAGAUAGCUACGAAAAGGUGGAUUGAUACGAGACAUUCUUGCUAUCUGGAAUCGUAAAAAACAAAUAAUGACGUUAUCAUUUUGAAGCCUUUAAACCCUAUUGCAAUUGCAGGGUCAAGGUGAUGUUACUCCAAAGACGUAGUGCAAUGAUGGACAUUGAUCUCCUUUUAUAGUUGUUUUCUUUAUCAGAGGAGAAUGAACAUGUCUUGCCAGAGAGAGAGAGAGAGAGAGUGAGAGAGGGAAUUGUUAAAUUGAAUGCAAUGAAAGCUUGACGUUACUUUCAUACAGUAUAGUACUAAACCAUCAAGUCUUAGCUUGAAUAAAAAUCACAUUGUAAAUAUAAUAGAGAAGCAAGACGAACAAAGGGAAUUUGGAUUGCAUAUAUUGCUUACACAAAUUAUAAGAUAUGAAAUGCGUUACCUUCAUCGGCAAAAUCGAGUCCAUCUGUUGAUAUAUUGAAACGGAAAUUGAAUUCUGACUUACAAAAGACACCUGGAUAUUUCAACAUAGGCAAUAGGAAAGAGAACAUCAUAAUCUGUCAGAAGAGAUAUAGAGCCUGCAACUUGAAUUUACACUUGCAGCUUCAUAACUUGUCUGACAGAUCACAGUUCCCACACUGCCGUUAUUAAAUGUAAGAUUCAAGUCAUUUUUUUAUGUUAUGCCGAGCUUGUGAUAUUCAUAGACAAGCACUUCAAAAUGUUUUGAUGUGUAAACUAUUGUUUAUGGUAGUGAAGUUAUGGAUUGUAAACAAUAUGUAAAAUAAGUACUUGAUGUUCAAACUUUUAUAAAAAAAAGCAACCGAUUUUGAAAAGAUAAGAGAAAGUACAGCACAUUCUCACUGUUAUUGAUAAACCUUCAAAUAUAUAUUUAUUUGAUAUGUUUAUUUGUAUUUCUUUUUCACUUUGUAUAUUUUCAUUUCACGAAAAAUUUUUUAUACCUAAAUAUUGCUCAACCAAGGUAAUUAGACUUUCGAACAAUGUUAAUUUCAUAUGGUUAGCAUCUCAGCUAUCGUCGUUACUUUCGCCAUAAUUAUUAUAUUAUGACCAUUGUUGAUAAUUGUUUGUGAUAUUGAUAUUGAUAUUUUCAAUUUGAGAUAUUUCCCUUAGAGUGUAUUUUUCUUUGUACAUAUGUAUAUUUGCCAUGUUACUUGUUGCUUGUUGCUUUGUAUUGGAGAAUAUGUAUAUAGGUUUUAGCCUGCUAUUGCACCCAUUUAAGUUAUUUCAGAAUAAAAUUUGUUUGCAUUGAAUUAAAAUAUACUUCUAUCCCAAAUUACAUAUAAAAAGAAGAUGUGGUAUGAUUGCCAAUGAGACAACUCUCCACAAGAGACCAUAUGACACAGAACAACUAUAGGUCACCGUACGGCCUUCAACAAUGAGCAAAGCCCAUACCGCAUAGUCAGCUAUAAAAAGCCCUGAAAUGACAAUGCCUUGUCUUUGCAAGGAUACGUGAUUU